UGACAUGCGAUGAAGCAAGAGGUUGCUUAUUAAAAAAUUAAUAAGGGAAUUUUUGCGGAGAAUGUCCGGCUUAGACUCGGGCGACAA
rfam:Proteiniborus sp. DW1 genome assembly, contig: DW1_contig49